GUCCAGACUCCUACGGGAGGCAGCAGUGGGGAAUAUUGCACAAUGGGGGAAACCCUGAUGCAGCAACGCCGCGUGGGUGAAGGAGCGUUUCGGCGCGUAAAGCCCUGUCAGCGGGGAAGAAGAAAGACGGUACCCGACCAAGAAGCCCCGGCUAACUACGUGCCAGCAGCCGCGGUAAUACGUAGGGGGCAAGCGUUAUCCGGAUUUACUGGGUGUAAAGGGAGCGUAGACGGCGAGGUAAGCCUGAAGUGGAAGCCCGCGGCCCAACCGCGGAACUGCUUUGGGAACUGUUUUGCUGGAGUAUGGGAGGGGUAAGCGGAAUUCCUGGUGUAGCGGUGAAAUGCGUAGAUAUAUGGAAGAACACCAGUGGCGAAAGCGGCUCUCUGGUCUGUAACUGACGCUGAGGUUCGAAAGCGUGGGUAGCAAACAGGAUUAGAUACCCCCGUA
rnacentral:rRNA from 1 species